rnacentral:rRNA from 1 species
GACGGAGGAUGCAAGUGUUAUCCGGAAUCACUGGGCGUAAGGCGUCUGUAGGUGGUUUAAUAAGUCAACUGUUAAAUCUUGAGGCUCAACCUCAAAAUCGCAGUCGAAACUAUUAGGCUAGAGUAUAGUAGGGGUAAAGGGAAUUUCCAGUGGAGCGGUGAAAUGCGUAGAGAUUGGAAAGAACACCGGUGGCGAAGGCGGGUCUCUGGGCCGAAACUGACGCUGAGGAGCGAAAGCGUGGGGAGCAAACAGG